AGUCGGCCGGACGGCCGCUCCCGCUGGUGCCGAAAGGCCGCGGGGGAGGAAAGUCCGGGCUCCAUCGACAUACGGUGCCGGAUAACGUCCGGCGGGGGCAACCCCAGGGAAAGUGCCACAGAGAACGAACCGCUCCCUCCUCGGAGGAAGUAAGGGUGAAAAGGUGCGGUAAGAGCGCACCGCGUGUCCGGCAACGGAGACGGCAUGGCAAACCACACCGGGAGCAAAACCGAAUAGGGACGGCAACGCGGUUAGUUCGCGCAUGCGCGAUAACACCGCAGGGCGAUGUCAGGCCCGCUGUCCGGGUAGGUUGCUCGAGGCAAGGUGCAAACCUUGUCCCAGAGGAAUGGCCGUCACGUACCAUUCGAAAGAACGGUGCCCUACAGAACCCGGCUUACAGGCCGGCUGA
rnacentral:RNase_P_RNA from 1 species